UACGGGGGGGGCAAGCGUUGUUCGGAAUUACUGGGCGUAAAGGGCUCGUAGGCGGCCAACUAAGUCAGACGUGAAAUCCCUCGGCUUAACCGGGGAACUGCGUCUGAUACUGGAUGGCUUGAGUUCGGGAGAGGGAUGUGGAAUUCCAGGUGUAGCGGUGAAAUGCGUAGAUAUCUGGAGGAACACCGGUGGCGAAGGCGGCAUCCUGGACCGACACUGACGCUGAGGCGCGAAAGCCAGGGGAGCAAACGGG
rnacentral:rRNA from 1 species